rnacentral:rRNA from 1 species
AGUGAACGCUGGCGGUAGGCCUAACACAUGCAAGUCGAACGGCAGCACAGUAAGAGCUUGCUCUUACGGGUGGCGAGUGGCGGACGGGUGAGGAAUACAUCGGAAUCUACUUUUUCGUGGGGGAUAACGUAGGGAAACUUACGCUAAUACCGCAUACGUCCUACGGGUGAAAGCAGUGGAUCUUCGGACCUUGCGCGAUUGUAUUAGCCGAUGUCGGAUUAGCUAGUUGGCGGGGUAAAGGCCCACCAAGGCGACGAUGCGUAGCUGGUCUGAGAGGAUGAUCAGCCACACUGGAACUGAGACACGGUCCAGACUCCUACGGGAGGCAGCAGUGGGGAAUAUUGGACAAUGGGCGCAAGCCUGAUCCAGCCAUACCGCGUGAGUGAAGAAGGCCUUCGGGUUGUAAAGCCCUUUUGUUGGGAAAGAAAAGCAGCAGGUUAAUCCCCCGCUGUUCUGACGGUACCCAAAGAAUAAGCACCGGCUAACUUCGUG